rnacentral:rRNA from 1 species
GACGAACGCUGGCGGCGUGCUUAACACAUGCAAGUCGAACGGAAAGGCCCUGCUUUUGUGGGGUGCUCGAGUGGCGAACGGGUGAGUAACACGUGAGUAACCUGCCCUUGACUUUGGGAUAACUUCAGGAAACUGGGGCUAAUACCGGAUAGGAGCUCCUGCUGCAUGGUGGGGGUUGGAAAGUUUCGGCGGUUGGGGAUGGACUCGCGGCUUAUCAGCUUGUUGGUGGGGUAGUGGCUUACCAAGGCUUUGACGGGUAGCCGGCCUGAGAGGGUGACCGGCCACAUUGGGACUGAGAUACGGCCCAGACUCCUACGGGAGGCAGCAGUGGGGAGUAUUGCACAAUGGGCGGAAGCCUGAUGCAGCAACGCCGCGUGCGGGAUGACGGCCUUCGGGUUGUAAACCGCUUUCGCCUGCGACGAAGCGUGAGUGACGGUAAUGGGUAAAGAAGCACCGGCUAACUACGUG